CAGUGACGCUGCCUGUGCCCUUACCUGUCCCUGCAGCGCCACCUCAGGGCCGUCAGGAAUACAGCGGGUUCUUGUAGCACCGCGGAAGAGGGUAUAGAAAAUGGACAACGUGUGAUUCGAUGGAAUAGAGUAUCUUAAAAAAAAUCCGGCUGCUAAACUAUGCUACUUAAUCCUGGUACAUCAGUAAAACUUGGCCAGAGCAAGUUCCAUUCUUUUGGAGCCCAGAAGACUAGGUAACGUGACACGUGUAAAUUGAAAUUCAUCCCAAAUGGAGCUUGAACACACUUGAUAUUUCUGAUUUGGUUAGAAUUAUGGUGCUUUUCUUUUAGGCCAAUAGAGAGACACAGCGAGAGCGGGAACACAAGCAGGGGGAGUGGAAGAGGGAGAAGCAGGCUUCCGGCAGAGCAGGGAGCCCGAUGUGGAGCUCGAUCCUAGGACCCUGGGAUCAUGACCUUAGCCGAAGGCAGACACUUAAGGACUGAGCCACCCAGGCACCUCUUUAUAAAGGGCUCCUGGAUGGAUCCUGGAUGAGAGCUGGUCACUGGAAAGACCAACCCAAGAUUAGAAGCUUGGAAUUUUCAGCCGUAUCUCCUACCCCUGAGGUGGGAAAGGGACUAGAAAAUGGAGUUAAUAAUUGAUCAUGAACCGUGGGAUCUGAUGCAAUUUUCAGGAUGUCUUCUGUACCCAGUGGCUGCUAAAAAAAAAGAAAAAAAAUUUGCCCGGCUGUGACAACUGCUGGGUGGACCAGGCCAAGGAAAGAGAGGUGGUGUCCUUGGAAGAAGGCAGACCUUUGCCACCUCCAGACAUUAUCCCUAGGCUCCAUCAGACAGCUAAUGAGCGCGUGGUGCACGCCAAGGAUAAACGCCAAGGAUAAAGAGAUGCAAGAAGGCAGUAACAGUGCUCAUUUUUGCUGGGUAACAGCUUUAUUGAGAUAGAAUUCACAUACCGAAAUAUUGGUCCUGUUUGCUAAUUUUUUAUAUUCCUGUCCUCUAAUGUCCACUGUCGUUGGAUGAUGAAUUUCUGCAAAGGCACUGAUAGAGGCUAUGAGGAAUAAACCCUGCAGAUGGAUCAAAUAAAAACAUCAGGUUUCCAGGCUGGAUAAAGGAGUCAUGAAAAGGAGGGAGAAGCAGAAAUGAAGGACAGAGAGACUUUUAGAAGUAAAAUGAGCAGUUGGUUAUUGAAAAGAAAAUCUUCUGCUGUUUGAAUAAAGACUGAAGAGCUUUCAUCGUUGGCUCCCCACAUGGUUGUGUCUUUUUUGAGCAGCAAGUCGCAAGAAGAAGAAGGAACUUAGAGUUGAACUAAUUAGUAGUAAUGAAAAUGUAGCAAACAUCAACAACGAAUUUCCUAGGCAAUUUCAUUUCCAAAGCACAUUCGCAUGUAUCACAGGUAAAAUGUUUUCCACAAACACCAUUUUUAACAUAGGAUUUUAUUUGCAGAAGCUAUUUUUUUGUGGCCUAAGGAAGAAAUGGCUCAUUGAAACAGAACUUUGCUGAUUUGGUUUCAAAGAAUUCUAGGAUAUGAAGAAUUCUGUGGAACACAGGGGUUCAGAAGUCCCUGAACACAGAACAGGCAUGUCUGGUAAUGAAAAUGUUCUUUUGGUCUAGCAUUAUGUUUAUGCUUUAAAAGCAUGAUUAUGCUAGGAAUAGGCAGAAGCAGAAAAGAGGAAGUAAGUAGGAAAAUACUUGAUAUUUGAAUAGGCUUUAUACUUUCCAAAAUACUCAGACCCCACCAAA